CAUCCAUUCUAGCAGUGCAAUAGUAUUGUCAUAGCAUUUGGCCCCCAGCUCACACUAAACUGCUGCUAAAGGGCCCCGUUUCAAAUGGGUUUGUGUGGAGAGUGGAGCCGAUGACUGACAGCAGGUGGUGGCGCGGCGCUAACCCCCCCUCCACCCUAAACUGUUUACCCACUUCUGUGUUUACACAGAAGAGUCGACGCACAUUGGAGGCCGAGUAGCGGCUCGCGACCGAAAUUUCACAGGACACGAGCGCGUCGAACGGGCGCCAGUUUUUUCCGAAGGGAAGAGAACAAAUGGCAUAACGCCUUUGGCCAAACCGUGGGAUUGAUUUUCUGUUUUGUUUUGUCCAUCUCGUGUGGUGGCUGCAUUGAUUUGAAGUAAUCAGUCGGCCAUGUUUUAUUUUACAACACGGCUCAUUAUGCGAAGUGACCGCCGGGAGGGCCGAUCAAUAGGUCACGACUUACCCUAAACUUUUCGCUGGAUCUUAAAGAGUGUUCUAGCGAAAGCGUUCUCCGACAACCUCACAGUCGUUCGUUUCUUAGCGGCGGCCAUUCCGCUGCGCUCCUGGUCUUCACCUGUUUGUCGUUUUGUCGUCACGCCAAACACUGCGUCGGUGUGCGACGGUGUGCGUCGUGGUAAAAUAAGCAGAUGGAGAAGGGAAGGGGGAAAAAAAGUGGGCGGGUGAGGUCAAUGUGUGUUUUUGAGCAUCCUCCGUUGCAGCAGGUCGACGGGGGGAGGGGAGGUUAGGGAGGAAUGUAGGGAGCAAGCCCCCCCCCCCCUUCGCCUUGUGCCUUCUCCUCUGUGUGUCUUUUCCUUUCUGUGUUGAGAUUAGGUGUCCCUGCUCCUGUGCGCGCGCCUCGUGUUUGGACCAUAAGGCAAGCGAGUAAAGAGGUUUGUUUGUUUUGAUGACUGUCGGUGGACCCUCCCCCUCCCCCCCGGUUGGGAAUGUUUAACCACACGGUCCAGUUUGCUGUUGCGAGGUGCAACGGGAGGACAUAAGUCAUUAUGUCCAAAAAAACGAAAGAGGACAAAACUCGUUCGGGUACAUGCUGCAAAUUCUUGUUUCAGGUGGAAGUGGUUUGUGGUGUAAAAGCCGGUGUGUCUGUGUGGAUUUUAAAAACAAAAUUAAAAAAAGGAGACCUCAGCCACUCGACUGUGUGAAAUUCUCCCCGAGUAAAGAACGUGACUUGUUUAGGCUUGCUUGCAAUGCUUGCUGGGAAAUCCUGGAAUGUGUGGAAUGGGGGACGGUGGUGCUUCUGCAGUUAUCUCACUGCGUAGAGCAGCAAGUACCCUGCAACGAAAACCCAACAUGUCAGCCGCGCUUUCUCCUCAGCCACUUCUUAAUGUGCAGAAAUACCGGCAUCUGCAUUUCAUUAAGUGCAUUAAAAGAAACUGCGCAGGAAAUGUUUUUGUUUCUUUCCUUUCGAGACGUGUCAUUGACCCCAUUGUCCUUGGGCGGAUGUGUUCUCGUUACACGGUAGUUAAUUACGCUUUUUAAAGGCACAGAUUGAUUCGCUGUUAGACGAUGGUUAAAAAGGAAAAACAAAACUGUCAUUCAAGUACAUGAUUUUUACGUAAAAUGUAUAUCAGUUAAAUGUGUUUUUAAUAAAAGUAAAUGUGGUUUAUGUGACAUUCCUCAUGAGGGACAAACCGCUGUUACUGUUCUCUGACACCCUUUAUCUGAAUAAAGAUGAUUCAAU
ensembl:lncRNA